rnacentral:rRNA from 1 species
UACGUAGGGUCCGAGCGUUAAUCGGAAUUACUGGGCGUAAAGCGUGCGCAGGCGGUUUUUGUAAGCCAGAUGUGAAAGCCCCCGGGGCUCAACCUGGGAACUGCAUUUGGGACUGCAAGGCUGGAGUACGGCAGAGGGAGGUGGAAUUCCACGUGUAGCAGUGAAAUGCGUAGAGAUGUGGAGGAACACCGAUGGCGAAGGCAGCCUCCUGGGCUAGUACUGACGCUCAUGCACGAAAGCGUGGGGAGCAAACAGG